UAAAUUUUUAGAAUAAUA
rnacentral:rRNA from 1 species